CUCCUAUUCCCCCAUCCAACUCCCCUCACCUGAGCAGCGGAGAUGCUCAAAGAAAGACUGCAGCACACAGGAGCCUCGGUGCUAACAUGGUCAAUCUGCACAAUCUCCAAGGAGGUGAUUUCAGUCCUACAGAGGAAAACCAGGAGAGCAAAAUGUUGUGGAUUCCAGGUGAAAAAAACUGUAAAAAGGAAGAAGUGAACAACUCUGUCAAAUACUGAUAAUCCAGGAAGAUGAGGCCUGAGAUUUGAUCACUGGAUUUAGCAAAGUAUUAGCCCUGAGCUAACAUCUGCUGCCAAUCCUACUCUUUUGGCUGAGGAAGACUGGCCCUGAGCUAACAACCGUGCCCAUCUUCCUCUACUUUCUAUGUGGGACGCCUACCACAGCAUGGUUUGACAAGUGGUGCCAUGUCCGCACCUGGGAUCCGAACUGGCGAACCCCUUAGCUGCAGAAGCAGAAUGUGUGCACUUAACCGCUGCGCCACCGGGCGGGCCCCAUUAUUCAUUUUAUAACUGAAACUUUGUACCCUUUUACCGACAUCUCCAUAUUUUGCCCACACCUCAGCCCCUGGCAACCACUUCUCUACUCUGUUUCUAAGAAUCGGACCUUUUUUUCUCUUAAAUUCCACAUAUAAGUGAUAGCAUACAGUAUCUGUCUUCCUGUUCCUGGCUUAUUUCACUUAGCAUAAUGUCCUCCAGGUUCACACAUGUUGCAAAUGACAGGAAUUUCUUCUUUUUUAAAGCUGAAUAUUCCAUUGUAUACUUAUACCACAUUUUCUUGAUCUAUUCAUCCCUAACAGAUACUUUAGGUUGUGUCCACAUCUUGGCUAUUGUGACUAAUGCUUCAAUGACCAUGAGCUUUCAAAUAUCUCUUUGAGGUAUGUUUUGGUUUACUUUGGAUAUAUACCCACAAAUGGGAUUUGUGGAUCAUAUUGUAGUUCUUCUUUUCAUUUUUUGGGGAACUUCUAUAAUGUUUUCCAUGGUAGCUUAUAUUCCCACCAACAGUGUAAAAGGUUUCCCUUCCCUCUGGAUCCUCAUCAACAAUUAUCUCUUGUCUAUUUAAUAAUAGUCUUCCUGACAGGUGUGAGGUGAUAACUCAUUGUGGUUUUGAUUUGCAUUUCCCUGAUGAUUAGUGAUGUUGAGCAUCUCUUCAUGUACCUGUUGGCCAAUUGUAUGUUUUCUUCAGAAAAAUAUCUCUAUUCAGGUCCUUUGCCCAUUUUUUAAUUGGAUUAUUUGGGUUUUUUGCUAUUGAGUUGUAUGAGUUUCUAGUAGAUUUUGGCUAUUAACCUCUUAUUGGAUAUGUGAUUUGCAAAUUUUUUCUCCUAUUCCAUAGGCUGCCUUUUCAUUUUGUUGAUGGUUUCUCAUGCUGAGCAGAAGCUUUUUAGUUUGAUGUAGUCCCACUUUUACUUUUGCUCUUGUUACCUUUGCUUUUGGUGUCAAAUGCGAAAAAAUCAUCGCUAAGACCGAUGUCAAGGAGCUUACCCUCUCUGUUUUCUUCCAGGAGUUUCACUGUUUCAAGUCUUACAUCCAAGUCUUUGAUUCAUUUUGAGUUGAUUUUUGUGUAUGGUGCAAGAUAGGGGUCCAAUUUCACUCUUUUGCUUGUGAUAAUCCAGUUUUCCCAGUACCACUUAUUGAAGAGACUAUCGUUUCUCCACUGUAUAUUCUUGGCUCCUUUACUGUAAAUUAGUUGGCUAUGUGUGCAUGGGUUUAUUUCUGGGCCCUCUAUUCUGUCCCGUUGAUCUGUGUGUCUGUUUUUAUGCUGAUAUCAUACUGUUUUGAUUACUAUAGCUUUGUAAUAUAGUUUGAAAUCAGGAAGUGUGAUGCCUCUGGCUUUGUUUUUUUCCUCAAGAUUGCUUUAGCUAUUUGAGGUCUUUUGUGGUUCCAUAAAAACUUUAGCAUUGUUUUCUCUAUCUCUGUGAAAAAUGCCAUUGUCAUUUUUAUAGGAAUUGCACUGAAUCUGUAAAUCCCUUUGGGUAGUAUAGACAUUUUAACAAUAUCAACUCUUCCCAUAUGUGAGCUCAGAAUAUCUUUCCUUUUAUUCGUGUUUUCUUCAGUUUCUUUCAUCACUAUCUUGCAGUUUCAGCGUAUAUAUCGUUCACCACCUUUGUUAAAUUUAUUCCUGAAUGUUUUAUUCUUUUCGAUGCUGUCAUACACGAGAUUAUUUUCUUAAUUUCUCUUUCUGAUAGUUUGUUGCUAGUGUAUAGAAAUGAAACUGGUUUUUGUAUAGUGACUUUUCUAUCCUGCAACUUUACUGAAUUUGUUUAUUAGUUCUAACAGUUUUUGGUGAGGUCUUUAUGAUUUUCUGUAUAUGAUAAAAUGUCAUUUGUGAAUAGAGAUAAUUUUACUUCUUCCUUUCCAAUUUGGAUGACUUUUAUUUCUUUUUCUUGCAUCAUUGCUCUGGCUAGGGCUUUCAGUACUAUGCUGAACAAAAGUGGUGAGAGUGGGCAUCCUACAGGGAGUAUCUCAGCCAGCCCCUGGGUGUAUGUUAAAUUAGAAGCCUGACCCUCAGGCAGCAGCUUUCAAAGUUUGCAGAUGGACCCUUUUAGGGAAAGGCUGGGAGCUGGGCAGUUUUCCUUGCUUCCUCUGUGCUGAGCCAUGGAGGGAUGGCUACAGCGAGUGCUUGCACACCUGUUAAGAGCUGUUUAUUUGUUUGCUGUAUUCUUGAGGGUCUUGUGGACACAAGCUUCACUGGCUUUCAGAACUAGGUGUGUGGGGGCCCAUCCAUCAGGCGAGAGUCUUAAAAGUUGGACCACUAAAUGUGGGGUCCGAACCAAUACUUCUUAGGGAGAAGCUGGCAGGUGAGAGUACUUUGGAGUAGUCAAUAAUUUUUAAGAGAGUAAAGGGGCCCUGAGACCAGAAAGUUUUAGACCCACUGACUUUUAACACUCACUGGAAGGUGAAGACUAGCUCUCAGGGAAAGACUGAGAGGUUGGACAUGUGAGAAAGGAGUUGAGGGGGAGAGUCCUAUCGCAAUAAGCUUUCUGGUGACCUUGACCUACAGCUUGAGGUAAGUCACACCAUCUCUCUGAGGGAAUAGCAGGGAGCAUACAUGGAAAAGCAUCAUAAAGGUGCUUUUUGAGCUAUGAGAGUCCUUCUAACUUUGAAUAAUACAAGGGUAUUUAUUUAAUAAAUAAUUUACAUAAUUUUAUCUAUAUGUAAGACAAUGGCAUAUUUUUGAAAUCUCCAUAAAGCCCAUUUGUUUUAAAGGUUUAGAAGUUUAUUUUUUCUUUUCUGAUUAUGAAAGCAAUAGAUGUUCACUAUAGAAAAUAUAGAAAAUUCUGAAAAGUGUUGAGGAAAUAUGAAUUAGUUGUAAUUCUACACCUGGAAAGAAUGAGUUAGUGUAUUAUCUAUUUCCUUCUGUCUCUAUUUUUUAAACAAAAUUGUUAUCAUGCUGUAUAUAUAAUUUUACAUCCACUGUAUUUACUUAACCUCUUACUAUGAGCAUUUUCUCAUUUGACAAUCAUUUGAAAUCAUUAUAUGUAGUGGAGCAAAAUAUUCCACUGAGAUUAUACAAUAAUUUAUUUAGCCAAUCUGCUACAGUUGGACAUGAGUUUGUUCCCCCCGUUUUCCUUCUUUUAUAAAGAAUAUUUGAAUGUGUCUCUCUCUAUAUACUCAUUUAUUCUGUACACACACACACACGCUCUCAUGCACAUGCCAAGAACUCUGCAUAUGUUCUUGUCUACAUCACUGGUUCAAAAAUAUUCAUUCUCCUGAAGGAAAUAAAUAUGGCAAAGAUGUAACCUCCUCCAAAAUUAACUUAUAAAUUUAUUGGCAAUUACAAUAAAAGUUCCAGUGUAUUUUUUUUUUUAAGAUGAUGAAAUGAGCCUAAAGUUCAUGUGCAGAAGUUAAUAGAUAAGAAAGAUUUUGAAAUUGAAGACAUAAUUGUGGAGUAAUGGUGGUGAUAAAAGAUAUUAAAAUGUAUUAUAAAACUAAAAUAAUUAAAACAGCAUGGUUUUAUAAUAAGGAUUGGCAGACAAAAUAAUAAAAUUGCCUGGAAGCAUAAUACAGCAUCCAUAGAAAUUUAGUAUUUCAUUAAAGGUAGUAUCAUAAAUAAGUAGUGACUCUGA
rnacentral:lncRNA from 1 species